AAAUCUUACCCUGUCUAGCUGCCUGUCAGUAUACUUUCGGUGACGGUAUUGGCUCGAAAGUGUAAGAGAGA
rnacentral:snoRNA from 22 species